UUUAAAGAUAAUAGGAUUUGCCAGUGGAUUGGAUAAAAGUUGUGAGAAAGACAAGAAUGAUACCAAGGUUUUAGCCUCUUUGGCUUGCGCUAUGGGAAGAUUAGAAUUGCCUUUAAUGGAGAUGAAAACGAUUAUGAAAGGAGCAGGGUUUUGGACAUAGCAAGUUUGAGAUGGCCAUUAGGCAUCCAAGUGGGGAUGUUGAGUAUUGGUGGUCAAAUAAAAGGGUCUGGAGUUCAUGGGAAAAAUCUGUGAUGCAGAUACAAAUCUGAGAGUUAUCAGUGACUUUAAAUACAUCAAAUGUAUUUAAAACCACAGGAUCAGAUGAGAUCAGCAGUGAAACAGGUGUUGAUAGACAAGACUGGAGUCCUAAGCUGGAGUCCAGGACAGUGUGAGGUUGGUGAGAUGAAGGACCAGCACAGGAGACUGAGAAGGACCAGAAAGACUAAGAAUUGCAGCUUGAUGUGGUAAGUAUAGUGAAUGCAGUGGGCAUGGGUCUCUUAAUGUGGUCUUGGGCAAAAUUUCUUUAGUGGUUUGUCUGUUCAGCCACUGGCCUAUCCUGAAUGGCUUCGGUAUCUAGUGUGUGCCAAGAACUAUUUUAAGCAGCAGCCAAGGCAAUAAAGAAAUACAUUUUAGUUGUUGGGAGAGAUUGAGGACAAUGGAUAAUAUGAAACAAAAAUAUCAGCAGUUGUCUUAUAUGUAAAAUGGGUAUCUGUUCUUCCUUCUCAUGGUUGUCAUAAAGAUUUAAUAAGGUAAUGCUCAUGAGGUACUUACCUCCAUGCUUGGAUCAAGAAAGUGCUCAAUGAACAUUUCUUGGUGUUAUUCGGGUCUUGUCAUCUUUGGCCUGGCAACAGUUCCCUGACUGCUGUCUCUUGUGCCACUCUGCUUUAUUUUUCCAAAGUGCUCAUUUUAAUCUUGUCGCUUUUCUUUAAAACCCUGGACCUGCUCUGUGCUCUCUUGCUUCUUUGUAUAUGCUGUUCUCUCUCUUAUACUGCCUUUCUCCAGCCUAAUUUUUUUCCCUAAUUCCUUCUUAUCCUUCAUAUAUUUUGAGAUGACCCUUCUGCUGAAGGUUUGCCUUGCCCUCUCAUAGUGCCUUCUUUUCUCCGCCAUGACUUUUUAUCACCCUGUAUUGUUUACUUAUUAGAGUCCCCGAUUAGGUCAUAAGCUCCAUGAAGCCAGGUCUGUGUCCUUUACACCACAUUUAACAUAAGCCUGGCUCCAGUUGGAGCCUCAGUAAAUAGUUGUUGAAUGAUUGAAAUUCUUGUAUAUACGGUUGCAUGUCCAGAGCACAUUCUCUGUCCUCCCUCUGCGCCAGGAUAUCAAGAGGCUAAUUAAAAAGUAGCAUGUCACUAGCAUUUUCUUUAUCUUUCUGUUUUAGUUUGGCAUUUUAUUGUGAAGCAUCGUUAGAGGAAUGUAAAACUUCACUUGAAUAAAAGAUUUGCUCCUAGAUUAUAUGAAAUGAAUAAACAUUUCCCUGAAGUGUUUAAGUUGGCAAUUACCAGCCCAGGGACACUGUUCACCCGUCUGUUUCCCUACAUGCUGCCAACACCUAUGUAAGUAUUCUAUUUAUUAAACUCUAAAAUAAUCCCAAUUGGAGUGUGCCAUCUGCUUCAUGCUGGGACCGUAAUGGAUACAAAUAAGCAUUUGAUCCACAGAGAGAGGAGGACUGCUGACCUGGUAGUUAGCAAAGAUUAAAAAAAAAAAAAAAAAAAAAGGAGGGGGGGAGUGCAAACUAGCCCAGUUGAAGCAUUACCAUCUAAAAAAAUUGUUUUAAUGUUUAUUAUUGAGAGAGAGAGAGGGAGGGAGAGGGAGAGAGGGAGGGGGAGGGGCAGAAAGGGGGGAGCAGGCCACAGACUCUGAGCUAUCGGUAGAGAGCCCAGUGUGGGGCUCGAACCCGCAAACCACGAUAUCAUGAUCUGAGCCAAAGUUGGACGCUUAACUGACUGAGCCAUCCAGGCACCCUGAAGCAUUACCAUCCAAAACCCCAGCCCAAAUCUUUCUUCAGGAAACCUGUCCUUUCUGCCUCUCUGAAUGUUAUCCCAUCUCAGAUUGUUUCUAGUGUUUUCAAAGCCCUGUGCAUGCGUCUGCUACAAGCACGGCAGGCUUGUAGCACCCCAAGAUUGUUUUAGUGUUUCAGAGUAACAGAUCCAGCAGUGCAGGGGAGAUCUCCUGAAAGUCAUGGGAUAUGGAAUGUGAAUCUUUGAUCUUUCCAGUUUCUCUAGCGUGGCCUUAUAUCACUUGACUUGCAGCUGGCACGUAUCUUUUAGGAAAAUGGAAGGAUGGAUAAAGUGUAUGGAAUGUUUUGUCCUCUCAAAAUUCUUAUGUUGAAGCCCUAAUCCUCCAGUGUGAUGGUAUUAGGAGAUGGACCUUUGGGAGAUAAUUAGGUUAGAUGGAGUCAUGAUGGUGGGGUCCUCAAGGAUGGGAUUGGUGCCUUUAUAAGGGUAGACACCAGAGAGCUUGCUGCUCCCCCACUCUCUGCACACAUAAAAAGAAGAGAUCAUGUGACCACAUAGUAAGAUGGCAGAUGCCUACAAACCAAGAGAAGAGCUUUCGGAGUGAAACCUAUCUGUUGGUACCUUGAUCUUGGACUUUCCAGCCUCCAGCAAUGUGAAAAAUAUGUUUGUUGUUUAGCCACACAGUCUAUGGUAUUUUGUUAUGGUACCCCGGGCUGACAGAGAUAAACAUGUAGAUUUUUUCCAAACGUGCUAUCUGCAUUGUCUGAGACAAGCAAUCUACUUGGGUGGCCCUUGCUCUUUUAGAAAUUUGGCGAUUCCUCUUUAUAGCCUACUUUAAUAUUUAAAGGCAAUGGGGAUUGUUUUGGCUGAAAUUUAAGCUUUAAAGGUGAAAGUAUCCUUAUCAGACUGGUUCAACUUAGAAAUGAGCAAGUUUUCUCAAUUUGGCCAAUUAAAAAAUACCUUUAGUAUGGAUGCUGAGGAGACUAGGCCUUUGGUUUUGAUUCUAAAUGGAAGUGGGAAGGUGCUCACAGAACGAUGCCAAGCACCGGUGGCUGUACAAUUUCUGUUUUAUUUUGUGUGCUUUUUUUUUUUAAUAGGAUAUAAAUAAUGACAAAAAUUACAAAAUUUAUAACUGGAAGCCCAAGCAUAUUUACACAUGUUUCUGUUUCAGCAAAGCUACUAUUUACUUUGCUCCUAUACAAUUACCUUUUGGUACCAUAUUUCAGUGUUAUUUUAUUCUCCAUUUACUACAUACAUAUCAACAGUGAAUAGGCAAAAUAUAUACAAGGAACUGUUCAGGUCAAGUAAUUUAAUAUU